UACGUAGGGGGCGAGCGUUGUCCGAAGUUACUGGGCGUAAAGCGCGUGUAGGCGGCUUUGCAAGUCGGGUGUGAAAGCCCUCAGCUUAACUGAGGAAGUGCGCCCGAAACUGCAGAGCUUGAGUACCGGAGAGGAUGGUGGAAUUCCCCAAGUAGAGGUGAAAUUCGUAGAUAUGGGGAGGAACACCGGUGGCGAAGGCGACCAUCUGGACGGAUACUGACGCUGAGACGCGAAAGCGUGGGUAGCAAACAGG
rnacentral:rRNA from 1 species